UACAGAGGGUGCUAGCGUUGUUCGGAAUCAUUGGGCGUAAAGGGCGUGUAGGCGGUUUGUUAAGUCAUGUGUGAAAGCCCGGGGCUCACCCCCGGAAGGGCAUUGGAAACUGGCGGACUCGAGUCCCGGAGAGGAGGGUGGAAUUCCCGGUGUAGCGGUGAAAUGCGUAGAUAUCAGGAGGAACACCAAUGGCGAAGGCAGCUCGCUGGGACGGUACUGACGCUGAGACGCGAAAGCGUGGGGAGCAAACAGG
rnacentral:rRNA from 1 species